CCUACGGGUGGCAGCAGUGGGGGAUAUUGCACAAUGGGGGAAACCCUGAUGCAGCAACGCCGCGUGAAGGAAGAAGGUCUUCGGAUUGUAAACUUCUGUCCUCAGGGAAGAUAAUGACGGUACCUGAGGAGGAAGCUCCGGCUAACUACGUGCCAGCAGCCGCGGUAAUACGUAGGGAGCGAGCGUUGUCCGGAUUUACUGGGUGUAAAGGGUGCGUAGGCGGAUAGGCAAGUCAGUGGUGAAAUCUAUGGGCUUAACCCAUAAACUGCCAUUGAAACUGUUUAUCUUGAGUGGAGUAGAGGCAGGCGGAAUUCCCGGUGUAGCGGUGAAAUGCGUAGAGAUCGGGAGGAACACCAGUGGCGAAGGCGGCCUGCUGGGCUUUAACUGACGCUGAGGCACGAAAGUGUGGGUAGCAAACAGGAUU
rnacentral:rRNA from 1 species